UACGGGGGGAGCAAGCGUUGUUCGGAUUUACUGGGCGUAAAGGGCGCGUAGGCGGUCAGCACAAGUCAGUUGUGAAAUCUCCGGGCUUAACUCGGAAAGGUCAACUGAUACUGUGCGACUAGAGUGCAGAAGGGGCAACUGGAAUUCUCGGUGUAGCGGUGAAAUGCGUAGAUAUUCGGAAGAACACCAGUGGCGAAGGCGACUUACUGGACGAUUGUUGACGCUGAGGUGCGAAAGCGUGGGGAGCAAACAGG
rnacentral:rRNA from 1 species